UUUUGGUCAUCCUGCCAAAGAUGUGUGCUCUUCGUGUGUCAAAUUCCGCAUUGCAAUCAAUGAUCCUGAUCUGACUGCAGAAGAGAAGCGGAACAAGAUUCUUCUUUACACACUUCACCGUCGCCGAGCUCGUCAGUUUUAUGACACACUAAAUGACGUGGGUGAUACAUUCACUGUCUGCUUUGACAUAAUGGAGAACCUGGUCCUUCCUAGGUCUGCCAUCUGUCAAACGUAUUACUCACGGCAGGUAUACUUUUAUGUAUUCGGUGUGGUCCGUCACUGUGGCAGAGGAGAACCCCAGAGUCGGCAUGAGAUAAAUCUGUACACCUGGCUGGAAUAUGAGAACUCAAAGGAUAGUAACAUUGUCGCCUCAGCUCUACAUCACUACUUCACCUCAGUGGCUAGAGUUGAUCUGCGCCAGUGUCAGAGCCUCCGCCUGUUCUCAGACUCUUGCUACGGCCAGAAUAAAAACAUUAAUGUUCUGUCAAUGUUGUUUGCCAUGCGUUCUCAGUUGUACCCUCAGCUCAACAUCACUUACUUCUUUCCUAUACGAGGGCACAGUUUCCUUCCGGCUGACAGUGUUUGGAAGGAUUGAGCAAGAUAUCCGGAAGCAUACAACUAUUCUGUUGCCGGAAGAGUAUAAUAACAUUUUGCAAAAGCAUGGCACUGUCUAUCAAUAUGGAAAGGACUGGCAGUGCUAUGACUUCAAAGAAGCAGCAGCCAGGUUCACAACAACUCAGAGAUCAUUCAAAAUAAGUGAAGCAAGAGUGCUGCAAAUCUCUGGAGAUAAGCUGGGGCUUAAGCCUGCGUUUGCUGGUGAAUUUUGCCAGCACUCUGUGCUGAAGCGGGGUAAGAAGUGGUUUCAGUUCAAGCCGGCUCUUCUUCCGGAUGUGAACUGCGUCAAGGAAGCAAAGAGGACUGAUGUCUUGAAGCUGCUGGGUGAGUUGGGAGCAUCAAAAGCUGUACAAGAGUUUUAUGAAAACAUCCUGGCAAGUGAUGGUGGCAAGGACAUUGAACAAGA
ensembl:lncRNA